GCAGUUAUCAUCAUAAUUAUAUUUGUAAUUCCAAGGGUGCAUUACCAUACUAAUGGAUGAUGACCACUCAACAGUCACAAGAAACAUUAAUUAAAACAGAAGUUCUCCCGUCCUAGCAGGGAGAGUGUUCCCUAAUCCCCAUUAUGGAAAUUGGUUAAGCCAAGAGAAUAUUUCCUUUAUAGUUUCAGCUCUUCAGAAAGCCUUUGAUGUCCUAAGCCAAAGCAACUACCCAUCAGGAACUGAGAGAUGUACUUCGGUCCCCCAUGCCAGCUUUUUACUUACUUCUGUCAUUUAAUUUCCCCCAUAAUACGGGGUAAAGUCUUAGCCARCAUCUUCAUUUUCAUUCAUUAGUGAAAUCAUCAUCAUAGUAAUACUUUGCACUUAUCUCUAUCCUAGGCACUUUGAAGGUGUCUGUCACUGUGUUAUGUAUACAUAAAGAACCCUCCAUCCAAAAAUGACCGAUCAGUAAAGUUUCCGAAUAUUGAAAAGGUCAAAGCACUACAGGACUCUGUUAUUAUCACUUAGAAAUAUAUGAGGCAUAAAAAUCAUAAUAGUGGGAAAGGUGUAAAAUGUGGCUGGCUCCCUCGAUAACGCCGGGGCUGUCGGUGUGAGCUCGGCUUUCCAUCCCUGCCCCAGGCUUCGCAGGCUCUCCUCGCUUUCUUUUGUUUUUCUUUCUUUUUUUUUUUUUUUUAGCUUAAGUAAGAGGUCAUUCUGUGUCGUACCAGAAGGUGCUUUGUUCAUCCAUUAUGGGGCCGUCCUUCACAGCUUUAAUCUGCAUAGAGAACAUCACCCAAUCCUUCCAUUCUCUCUACACGUAAUUUGACAUUGCUCAACUCCACCUGUUCCCUGUCGAGGAAAUGCAGGUUCAGCCAGCCGGAAGACGAAGGACCAGGUACUGUGACUUGCUUCCCUUCUGUCUGUUCCCUUUGCUUUUCCACUGAAUGGGGAGAAAA
rnacentral:lncRNA from 1 species